rnacentral:lncRNA from 1 species
CGCAAAGAGGCAGUUACAGCUGCGCUGUGGCGCAGGCCUCUUGCGCUGUGGCGCAGCUUCCAGAUCAAGAACUCAUCUCCCAGGUGUUCAUCAUGCGCCAUGCGCAGCUCUCCUGCGCCAUGGCGUAGCUCACAGUGUUGGAAUCCUCCUAAUCAAGGCUCUAUUGCGCCAUGCGCAGCUAUACUGCACCAUGGCGCAGGCACCAGUGGAAGUCACUCUCAAGAAAGACCAACAAUGCGCCAU